AAUAAGAUAAUUAAAAUCCAAGAUAAUUAAAAAAGUAUUUAGAUCUUAACACGGGAGAAUAUUACAAGCUCUCAACAAAUAUAAUAAUUAAAUUAAUAUUAAAUUAUUUUUUAAUUAUCCCAAUUAAUUAGCAACCAUGAGUGUUCUCACAAUGUAGAGGUUCAGAUGUCUGAUCCUCUUCAUCAACCCAGCGCCCCAGCUUCAUCAAUUGAUAACCCACGCCCUCUCUCUCUCCACUCCCAUGUAAACCCACGCACUUCAUCAACCCGGAGCUCGAUCCCCUUCAUCGCACGCCCCAGCUUCAUCAACCCGGCGCUCGAUCGAGGCGAAAAACUGCGAUUUUCUUAUUUCGGAGAUCGAGUGAGAGCGAACGAUCAAGCGAAGUAGAGAGAGAGAGAGAGAGAGAGAGAGAGAGUUCGAUUUUUCGAUCUGCGUCCAAAUGUCGCGAAGCCAUUCGAAUCGAGGGUGAUUCCACAGUGAUUCGAUGAUCUGAUAGGUGAUUGCGGAAUUAGCAAAAAGUGGUGAGAUUCAAGCUACUGUCCUGUUGCAUCCUUUACUCAAGGAUGAAUAUUGUCUGACAUAUACUAUUUUGGUGGGAAUCCUGAAGCAGUUGAGCUCUGCUCAUAUAACUCUUUUCAUCACAUUUUGUCUGCGGCUACAUAUACAUUACCGGAGGGCAUUCGUUUAAACUGAAAACACUAUAUACGCUAUACGAUUAAUAAUUCAUUGUGAAUAAAAAAGUGAUGAAAUUUUUGUUUGUUCCUAUUAUUCCCUGCUUAUACAAUAGUAGAGAAUUUUUGAUUUCUUGAUU